CUACGGGUGGCAGCAGUGGGGAAUAUUGGACAAUGGGCGAAAGCCUGAUCCAGCCAUGCCGCGUGUGUGAAGAAGGCCUUCGGGUUGUAAAGCACUUUCAGUGGGGAAGAAAGCCUUGGGGCUAAUACCCUCGAGGAAGGACAUCACCCACAGAAGAAGCACCGGCUAACUCCGUGCCAGCAGCCGCGGUAAUACGGAGGGUGCGAGCGUUAAUCGGAAUUACUGGGCGUAAAGCGCGCGUAGGCGGUCUGAUAAGCCGGUUGUGAAAGCCCCGGGCUCAACCUGGGAACGGCAUCCGGAACUGUCAGGCUAGAGUGCAGGAGAGGAAGGUAGAAUUCCCGGUGUAGCGGUGAAAUGCGUAGAGAUCGGGAGGAAUACCAGUGGCGAAGGCGGCCUUCUGGACUGACACUGACGCUGAGGUGCGAAAGCGUGGGUAGCAAACAGGAUUAGACACCCGAGUAGUC
rnacentral:rRNA from 1 species